CAGUAGCCGCGGUAAUACGUAGGGUGCAAGCGUUAAUCGGAAUUACUGAGCGUAAAGCGUGCGCAGGCGGUUUGUUAAGACAGAUGUGAAAUCCCCGGGCUCAACCUGGGAACUGCAUUUGUGACUGGCAAGCUAGAGUGUGGCAGAGGGGGGUGGAAUUCCGCGUGUAGCAGUGAAAUGCGUAGAUAUGCGGAGGAACACCGAUGGCGAAGGCAGCCCCCUGGGCCAACACUGACGCUCAUGCACGAAAGCGUGGGGAGCAAACAGGAUUAGAUACCCGCGUAGUCCCUGUCUCUUAUAC
rnacentral:rRNA from 1 species